rnacentral:tRNA from 5 species
GCUCCCAUCGUUCAACGGAUCAGGACGCGACCUUGCGGAGGUCGUAAUCGAGGUUCGAUUCCUCGUGGGAGCA